AAUGAACGUUGGCGGCGUGGAUUAGGCAUGCAAGUCGCGCGAUAAAUCGCCUUCGGGCGAUGGAAAGCGGCGAAAGGGAGAGUAAUGCGUGGGUACCUGCCCUCAGGACCGGGAUAGCUGCGGGAAACUGCAGAUAAUACCGGAUGAUGUCUCCGGACCAAAGGUGUGAUUCCGCCGGAGGAGGGGCCACGUCCUAUCAGCUAGUUGGCGAGGUAAUGGCUCACCAAGGCGACGACGGGUACGGGGUGUGAGAGCAUGCCCCCGCUCACUGGGACUGAGACACUGCCCAGACACCUACGGGUGGCUGCAGUCGAGAAUCUUCCGCAAUGGGCGAAAGCCUGACGGAGCGACGCCGCGUGCGGGAUGAAGGCCUUCGGGUUGUAAACCGCUGUCGAGGGGGAGCAACUUCCAUAGAGUUAUCUUUAUGGAUUGAGUGAUCCCUGGAGGAAGGACGGGCUAAGUUCGUGCCAGCAGCCGCCGUAAUAC
rnacentral:rRNA from 1 species